ensembl:lncRNA
CGACUGGAAGGGUUAGAGCCAGGAUCCACCCCUUCCCAGACCUCAUUUAAGGGCUGACAGUGGAGGUGAGGGUUGUGGUUGCUGGAGAUCCCUGUCUACCUGAGGCCUUCUGAAGGGCACCUCACUCUCAAGAAAGCUGGACCAGCCUAAGACUGGAGCAAGUUCAUCAGCCCACAUCCAGCUAAUCUGGGACAACAAACAGACAACAUGCUUGCUGUGAAAAUAAAACUCCUCAUGUGGAUAACCACCAGGUUUUGGAAGCGCAAAUACUCAUCUGCCACGUGUCAGAUGAGUCAGCCUGGAACACGAGCUGCGGGGAAAGAAUUCAGAUGCUUUGUAUAUACAGUGGCAACUUCUGAAGACUUAAGUCACUUGUAGAUGGUAGGAAUCCAAAGUGGAAACAUCCUGGUUUCACCAGAGGCACCAAAGUGCUCCUUACAAAGUGAUGCUUGUGCAAUGCUGGGGAAGUCUGGGAAUUCCCCAUAGUUCCACAGCUCUGGAGAAAGCCAGGCUAGCAGCCAGUAGUAUCUUCCACCAAUGUUUUGAAGUAAUUUUGCCAGUUGCCAUGCUUCCCUUUACGCACGAUGGAGGAGAACGCUCAGCAACCCACCCUGACUCAAAAGGACACUUUGGAAACAUCUGCUUUAAGGGAUGGCUUUGUUGCCUGCACGCAGGCAGCUUGCACCACUCAGUGUUGGCAGGUUUCAGACAAGAUGUGAAAGACGUGUGCCUUCCUUGAGCUGCAUUUGGAGGUGACAACUCUUACAGCAUCUGGAAUGCAGCUAGUAGCUUGCACAUAGGCAAGUUGAUGAAGUUAUGAAUUAAUCCUGCAUAUUAAGAUGAGGUGAAAUAAAGAGUUUAGGAAGCGUAAAACUAAGGUGCUUGAUUUUUUUACGGGAUAGAAAAGUAAACACUCCAAAAGAAAAACAACAGCUGAAGAGGGUAGAGACUCUCCUAACGUAUGAAUGUCAGUGCUGAACUCCAAGUCCCAGUGGUUUUUAAAAAUAGACUAUCCAAACACCUGCGAGGCCUCUUGUGUGCAGAUGGUCCUUCCUCCAGGAGGAGGCAAAGCCAGGUGACCUCUUACAGACCUUACCAGGCAUAUUUUUGUGAUUCCUACCACCAGCCUGUGGCCCUAUGAUGAGAUAUAGGAAAGCCAAUAUGGUGUCACAGGACAGAGUUCCUGUGUUUCUUGGAGCUGCUUUGUUAAACUGGAGCAACAAUGACAUCAGAAAUGAAACAAAACCUAUGCUUAAAGGGGAUUGGCAAGAUUGCAGAGUCAACCACCCAAACAAAAGGAAAUGCCAAAUUUCAGACUGCCUUUCUCUUUCCUAGGCUAAACUACCUCCUCUUCUCCUUGGUCAUGAUGGACCACAUUUUAUUCAUAGAAUCAUAGAACAGCCUGGGUUGAAAAGGACCACAAUGAUC